ensembl:snRNA U6 U6 spliceosomal RNA
GCGCCCCCAGCAACACAUAUAUUAAAACUGAAGUGAUACAGAGAAGAUUAGCAUAGCCCCUGCACAAAGAUGACAUACAAAUGCACAAAGUGUUUCCUAUCUUU